ensembl:lncRNA
AAAAUAAGCAAAACUAUCCAAAUUGAAAAAAAAAAUGGAAAAAAUCAAAUACCCAAAAAUGACAAAAAUUGGUUUGAUCAGGACUGCCAAACUAUUCACAAAAAACAGAGAACACUGUCAAAUCAGAAACACAGAGAUCCAAAUAAUGCAGAGAUCCGUCUUCUUUACUGUGAAACACUAAAACAAUACAAACAUACACUCAGAACCAAAAAAGCACAAUACACCCAAAAACAACUCACAAUAAUUGAGAAGUCAGUGAACACAAACCAGUUCUGGAAUAAUUGGAACAAUCUGAAAAAAACUGAUCGUGAAGAAUUGGCAAUCCAAAAUGGAGAAAUAUGGGAAAGUCAUUUCCAAACAUUGUUUAAUAAAGUACAAACAGACACAAACUGUAAACAAAAUCAAACAAUCAACCAAUUGGGAAAACUAGAAUUAGCAAUCAAAGAUAACCAAAACCCAUUAGAUUUCACAAUAACUGAUAAAGAACUUAAGGUGGAGGUCAGGAGGGUUGACUAUGGAGAUGUUGUUUGCGUCUCUCUUUGGGAUGUUAAGGAACUGUGUGGAGAAGCAGCAUCCAUACCUGUGCAAGCGCUGCAGGUCUCUCUGGUGAACGUGAGGCCAGUGAAUGGAGAAACAUGGUCUUUUGAAACGAUCAGCUGGUUCAAGAGUAAAGCGCAGAACAAGACUCUUUAUGCCAGGCUUUACCCAGAAGAAGGAGAAGUUUUGGUUGAGCUCUUCAUGGAGAAGGGAAAGAUUGGUGCUAUGAGGAGAGGAGACUCUCUGUCUGUGAGACUUGCUCAGAAUAGAUUUGCCAUUCAUGAAUGUAACAAACCCAGGGGUCUGAAGAGAAGUGAUGUCCCAGAACAAACCAGACAGCAGUCGUUACAGUGGGAGAAGUAUCUGAUCUCCUGUUACAGUCACAACAGAGAAUAAUGUUCAGUGAUCAGAAAACUUUUGUCAUUCAUCAUUACAUCAUAACCUUAUACACACUUCACAAUAUCUACUGUAACUAUGCAGAUUUCAUAGUCUGGAGUAUUUGGUGUACAGUUUGUGAACACUGUACAUUGUUACAAGAUAGAUUGUAUUACAGAAAAUAUUUGGUGAUGUUCGUCGCCGUAGAAUGUGUUCUUUUUGGUUUAGAUAAUUCAUAAUUAAAAAUAACCAGGAAUUGUAAAAUAGAAGCUUGUCUUGUUUCUAAGAAUUUUAGAGUUGACUUUGUGUGUUCUGUUGUUCUUUGGAAAAAUACUGAAAUAUGUACUGUUCUUUGUUUGUUAGUUAACUCUGGCUGGGCAAACUUUACUGUAAUUUUACUCUGGAGCACAUUAACACUUUUAAAACGCUUGACAUGAACGUGUAAAUUUGCACUUGAAGGGCUGCUUAAGAGACAGACCCUGCAUUCCAUUUGGGAGGGCUUAUCCCUAUACCCUAAUCCCUUCAAAGGGUUUACCCUCCAGAGUGAGAGCUUUGAAGGGAUGAAGGGUGUAGGUGUCAAAAAAAGUGCACUUCUGCAUCAUCAUAAUGAGACGAUCAAGGAGGCGUCUUUGACACACAUUUUGUACACUAGUUGACCCCCAAAAAACACACUGAGAACGAUGAGUAGAUGCAGAUGAGUAGUGCAAGCUGCACUUUUGUUUAAUGUUUAUUGAUUGAUUGAUUGAUUGAUUAAUUGAUUGAUUUUUGGUUUAUUGCAACAAGGCUGGUUUUAAAUGGAUACAUUUUGCCUAUACAUAAUUCAUGCCAUGUAGUUCAAAAUUAUUUCUUUCUCAUGCACAUUUUGUCAUGCAUAUUUAAUAAACUUAUUUGUUUUUUAUUGGCCUAAUGUAUUCAUUUCUUUUGCCAAGAGUCCGC